CAAACAAAGCUGAAGGGUGGGGCUCCUCAUCACCCAGGGGAGGGUAUAUAAAGAGGGCAGGAGACCAGGAUAGACCUAGAGUAAACAAGUACAGCUAAGGAGAUCUGCACAUCCCAGAAAUCUACCACAACUAUGGAAGACUCAAUCAUGAAUACAAUCCCAAGGACUAAAGGGAAGAAGCAAAGGAAGACCACAUGUCAACAAAAGAAGAAAACCAUGAAGGUGAAAGAAACCCUCCACAGGAAGUUGAGAAAAAAAUCUCCCCAAUCAGUCCGCUCCUCUUCAAGAGAAGCAAGGGAAGCAGUAAGACCAACAAUAUUCAUUUGUUUUCACAAACUGAAUGAGACACAAAAUAAACCUCAGGAGAACGGGAACACAGACCAUUGGAAAAUCAACGAGUUCCAUGUGACAUGCUGUGCAGCCCGUAAAUGCCAAGCCUGGGCCAGAGAACUAGUUGCAGCAUCCUCCAAGACAGUGGUGAAGCAAUGGCCAAUUACAUAGGGACCAAAUCUGAGACCAACAGUCUACAGGAAGGUUGGCAACUGAAAUAAAGUCAAGUGGCUGCAGAAAGAAAA